AUGAACGCUAGCUACAGGCUUAACACAUGCAAGUCGAGGGGCAGCAUGAACUUAGCUUGCUAAGUUUGAUGGCGACCGGCGCACGGGUGAGUAACACGUAUCCAACCUGCCGAUGACUCGGGGAUAGCCUUUCGAAAGAAAGAUUAAUACCCGAUGGCAUAGUUCUUCCGCAUGGUAGAACUAUUAAAGAAUUUCGGUCAUCGAUGGGGAUGCGUUCCAUUAGGUUGUUGGCGGGGUAACGGCCCACCAAGCCUUCGAUGGAUAGGGGUUCUGAGAGGAAGGUCCCCCACAUUGGAACUGAGACACGGUCCAAACUCCUACGGGAGGCAGCAGUGAGGAAUAUUGGUCAAUGGACGAGAGUCUGAACCAGCCAAGUAGCGUGAAGGAUGACUGCCCUAUGGGUUGUAAACUUCUUUUAUACGGGAAUAAAGUGAGGCACGUGUGCCUUUUUGUAUGUACCGUAUGAAUAAGGAUCGGCUAACUCCGUGCCAGCAGCCGCGGUAAUACGGAGGAUCCGAGCGUUAUCCGGAUUUAUUGGGUUUAAAGGGAGCGUAGGCGGACGCUUAAGUCAGUUGUGAAAGUUUGCGGCUCAACCGUAAAAUUGCAGUUGAUACUGGGUGUCUUGAGUACAGUAGAGGCAGGCGGAAUUCGUGGUGUAGCGGUGAAAUGCUUAGAUAUCACGAAGAACUCCGAUUGCGAAGGCAGCCUGCUGGACUGUAACUGACGCUGAUGCUCGAAAGUGUGGGUAUCAAACAGGAUUAGAUACCCUGGUAGUCCACACAGUAAACGAUGAAUACUCGCUGUUUGCGAUAUACAGUAAGCGGCCAAGCGAAAGCGUUAAGUAUUCCACCUGGGGAGUACGCCGGCAACGGUGAAACUCAAAGGAAUUGACGGGGGCCCGCACAAGCAGUGGAGUAUGUGGUUUAAUUCGAAGCAACGCGAAGAACCUUACCAGGUCUUGACAUCCUACUAACGAGAUAGAGAUAUGUUAGGUGCCCUUCGGGGAAAGUAGAGACAGGUGGUGCAUGGUUGUCGUCAGCUCGUGUCGUGAGAUGUUGGGUUAAGUCCCGCAACGAGCGCAACCCUUGCUAUUAGUUGCUACGCAAGAGCACUCUAAUAGGACUGCCGUUGACAAAACGGAGGAAGGUGGGGACGACGUCAAAUCAUCAUGCCCCUUAUGAGCAGGGCUACACACGUGCUACAAUGGCGUAAACAAAGGGAAGCGAACCCGCGAGGGUGGGCAAAUCCCAAAAAUAACGUCUCAGUUCGGAUUGUAGUCUGCAACUCGACUACAUGAAGCUGGAAUCGCUAGUAAUCGCGAAUCAGAAUGUCGCGGUGAAUACGUUCCCGGGUCUUGUACACACCGCCCGUCACACCAUGGGAGUCAGUAACGCCCGAAGUCAGUGACCCAACCGUAAGGAGGGAGCUGCCGAAGGCGGGACCGAUAACUGGGGUG
rnacentral:rRNA from 1 species